CAUUGGGCUUCCUUUUCCAAAUCCUUAGUUUGUCCGAUAUCACUUGAAGGCUUUGAGUUCAAUAGCCUCUGUAACCCACUUAUCGAUCUAUCGACGUGAACGGUGAACCCUUUCUUGUAUUGGGGAAGCCUUGCUACUCGCUAAGUCGCUCAGUAGUGUUCACCUGAUCAGUUGCUGACCAAAGAAUUUAUGGCAGCUUUGAUUCUUAAUAUAAGUCAGAUAAGUAUAUAGCUUUCUAGAUCACAACUGAGUGUCAAAAAAUUAAUGGCUUUAGGCUGCGUUUGGGGGGGGGGGGGCUUUUUUGCUCCUCUGCUUAUAAGCGCCUCUACAUCUCGCGUUUGGUAAACCAGUUUUUUCACUACUUUUUCCAGAAGCCAGCGCUUCUUCGAUUAAAAAGCCAAAGCCGCCAGUGACCUGCUUUUAGAAGCAGGAGAUGGCUUUUGUCACUGUAGUUUAAUGAACUUUUGGAAAUACCGAUUUCUAUCCUCUCUUCGUUUCAGCAAUUUCACAAUGCCAUGAAACCCUUCUCUUCCGUGUUCAAGUUCGAAGCCUCACACGCAGUGCCGCUUCAUGACUCUGGUUUGAUCUCUCUCUCUCUCUCUCACUGCCUUCACUUCACCUCUCAUCCGUGUUCGAAAUCGAAGCCUCAAUCCUUGAUUGAUGGCUGCUUGGCAAUUUGAUUCAAGGUACUUGAGCAUACUUGGGUUGGAUCAACACAGCAAGAGUUGCUGCAUUAGGUGGGGCUAGUAGUACAUCCAAGAGGAGAAGGAUUUCGUGCUUCUUAUCUUGAGAAGGUUGUGUAGGAAGUGAUUUCAAACUGUAGUGGAUAAGUUCUUUCACAACUAUUUUGUACCUUUUGUUAUAAGCCAUUUGACUUGUAGAGGCUGUUAAGAUUUACAAUUUACUUGUCUGAUUUUUUUUUUUCCUUCUUCGUAUUUAUUGUGUCUAACUUUUGAGAUCCAAAGAGAAAUAAAUUUAUUAUGUUCAA